rnacentral:misc_RNA from 1 species
GAUGAAGAACGCAGCGAAAUGCGAUAAGUAGUGUGAAUUGCAGAAUUCAGUGAAUCAUCGAAUCUUUGAACGCACAUUGCGCCCCUUGGUAUUCCAUGGGGCAUGCCUGUUCGAGCGUCAUUUGUACCUUCAAGCUCUGCUUGGUGUUGGGUGUUUGUCCCGCCUCUGCGUGUAGACUCGCCUCAAAAUAAUUGGCAGCCGGCGUAUUGAUUUCGGAGCGCAGUACAUCUCGCGCUUUGCACUCAUAACGACGACGUCCAAAAGUACAUUUUUACACUCUUGACCUCGGAUCAGGUAGGGAUACCCGCUGAACUUAAGCAUAUCAAUAAGCGGAGGA